AUUAAACGCUGGCGGCAUGCCUUACACAUGCAAGUCGAACGGCAGCACGGGGGCGAACCCUGGUGGCGAGUGGCGGACGGGUGAGUAAUGCAUCGGAACGUGCCCUGAAGUGGGGGAGUAACGCAGCGAAAGCUACGCUAAUACCGCAUAUUCUGUGAGCAGGAAAGCAGGGGAUCGCGAGACCUUGCGCUUUGGGAGCGGCCGAUGUCGGAUUAGCUAGUUGGUGGGGUAAAGGCCUACCAAGGCGACGAUCCGUAGCGGGUCUGAGAGGAUGAUCCGCCACACUGGGACUGAGACACGGCCCAGACUCCUACGGGAGGCAGCAGUGGGGAAUUUUGGACAAUGGGCGGAAGCCUGAUCCAGCCAUGCCGCGUGAGUGAAGAAGGCCUUC
rnacentral:rRNA from 1 species